UACAGGGGGGGCAAGCGUUGUUCGGAAUUACUGGGCGUAAAGGGCCAGUAGGCGGCCAACUAAGUCACACGUGAAAUCCCCAGGCUUAACCUGGGAACUGCGUGUGAUACUGGAUGGCUUGAGUUCGGGAGAGGGAUGCGGAAUUCCAGGUGUAGCGGUGAAAUGCGUAGAUAUCUGGAGGAACACCGGUGGCGAAGGCGGCAUCCUGGACCGACACUGACGCUGAGGAGCGAAAGCCAGGGGAGCAAACGGG
rnacentral:rRNA from 1 species